rnacentral:rRNA from 2 species
UCUGAAUCUGCGUACGGCUCCGCAAACCAGUUGUAAACUAUAGCAAGCAGGCUCGGGGUCGGCCUUCACGGGCUGGCCUCGGGCGAUAUGGAUAACCCUGGUAAUUCUGAGGCUAAUACAUGAACGUAGAACCCGGUUGACUAGGCCUCACGGCUAGGGAUGCUGGGGGAUGUGCGAUUGCAGGCUUGGGUAACUCCGGGAAAGGGCGCACGUCCAGACCGCGCUAUAAAGGAUGGGCUUCUCACGAGGCCUGCCCCAGCGGCUCUUGCUGUGUGCUUCUGACCUAUCAACUAGACGGCAGCGUAAGGGACAUGCUAUGGU